GGAUUUUAUACCGAUCUGAGACCAGUCCUCCAGUUUCAGUACUGUUCUUAACGAGCCCUCGUCGUCUUCCCGUCACACAAGCGGCCAAUUGCAGAGCAGAAGAGGAGGAGGGUUCUACAUUGGACCUUUGUCCCAGGUGAACAAGCAAUGAACCCCUAUGGAAGCCCUCUGUUGUAGGGUUCUACAUAGAACGUUUGAGGACAAGGUGAAGAAGCUUCCAAAUGUACCAGAUUCCACUUAGAACCUUUCAGGGUUCUCCCAGAUGGAAAACCGAUGAACCCGUAAGGGUCGAAGAGUAGAACUUGAGGAGUAGACACGGAACUUUAUUUCUGAAAGGCAAAUCAUAUGUUGUAGGAUUGUUUAAUGGA